rfam:Schizophyllum commune H4-8 unplaced genomic scaffold SCHCOscaffold_7, whole genome shotgun sequence.
GUCGGUAUCGAUUAGGGGUGAAAUCAUCUCGUUGUGGCGAGUUGUAACUCCGAGAAGCCGCAGGUUCGAAUCCUGCUACCGACA